UUUACAAGAGUAUCCUGUGUUGAAUGGCUCCCAGCAGCUUUUCAGUGAAACAUGGUACCAAUCGUUGGAUUUUCACUUCAUUUUACUGAUGAGCAGCCCCUACAAGGUCUGUGGUGAACAUUUUUGCUCUGCACUGGCUGAAUAAUUUGGAGGAUAUGCGGUUAAAAAUGCCAAGAAAUCAGAACAUCUCUUAAUCACCUAUGACCUUCAACAGAAUCCGCCUGCUAAUGACGACACUUCCACCUACCAAGAUCACUUCUCCUGAUGACAUCAUUUCCCACCACUUCCGGUCUCCAACAUAUAUAUCCACUAUCUUUACU